CAGUCGAACGAAACUUCUUUAUCACCGAGUGCUUGCACUCACCGAUACAGAGUUGAGUGGCGAACGGGUGAGUAACACGUGGGCAACCUGCCCAAAAGAGGGGGAUAACACUUGGAAACAGGUGCUAAUACCGCAUAACCAUAGUUACCGCAUGGUAACUAUGUAAAAGGUGGCUAUACUACCGCUUUUGGAUGGGCCCGCGGCGCAUUAGCUAGUUGGUAGGGUAAAGGCUUACCAAGGCAAUGAUGCGUAGCCGAAUUGAGAGGUUGAUCGGCCACAUUGGGACUGAGACACGGCCCAAACUCCUACGGGAGGCAGCAGUAGGGAAUCUUCCACAAUGGGCGAAAGCCUGAUGGAGCAACGCCGCGUGGGUGAAGAAGGUCUUCGGAUCGUAAAACCCUGUUGUUAGAGAAGAAAGUGCGUGAGAGUAACUGUUCACGUUUCGACGGUAUCUAACCAGAAAGCCACGGCUAACUACGUGCCAGCAGCCGCGGUAAUACGUAGGUGGCAAGCGUUAUCCGGAUUUAUUGGGCGUAAAGGGAACGCAGGCGGUCUUUUAAGUCUGAUGUGAAAGCCUUCGGCUUAACCGGAGUAGUGCAUUGGAAACUGGGAGACUUGAGUGCAGAAGAGGAGAGUGGAACUCCAUGUGUAGCGGUGAAAUGCGUAGAUAUAUGGAAGAACACCAGUGGCGAAAGCGGCUCUCUGGUCUGUAACUGACGCUGAGGUUCGAAAGCGUGGGUAGCAAACAGGAUUAGAUACCCUGGUAGUCCACGCCGUAAACGAUGAAUGCUAAGUGUUGGAGGGU
rnacentral:rRNA from 1 species